CUUUGGCCACUGAUUUCUACAAGUAAAUAACUUCUUGUUGGACAGUACCUUGAGCUGCAGGUGGACACAAUUCUGCUGUCAGUUUGUCUAAAGAGGAAAAACCCAGGAUGAAUAGGAAGAAUGGAAAGCUGCAGCAAGAGAAAACUCUGCAUGUGCAAACACCAAAUUUUAUUCCAGAAAUUCUCUAUGACUAAGGGGAAGACUGGCUGCACAGGAUAUCAGGCACAGACCAACCACCAAGACUUCCUAAAUGAAAUGGGGGAAAUCAUCUAUCUGCCUUUACUCUGAGUAUGAACAGAAGUGGGAAACAGGCUUCUUUUAUCCUGCUGUCAACUCUUCUCAAACAUGAUUUGCAAUUUUUUAGUCCUAUAAACACCAGCAAAAUCUGUGGACAGUGAUAGUGGGGAUGAUGAUGCACAAUACAGGCAACAGUGCUUCAAUAAUAUGAGUGUUAAAAUCUUCUAUUAGCUCUAGCGUUGAUUACUUUGUCCAGCAAACCAAAUAUAUCUGCUAAUCAAAUUUCUAAUUUGAAUUUUGAAAUAAGAUGCAGUGUUAGCCCUACUAGCUGAUUUUACAUUUGCUCUAAUUGCUAAUGUUGGGCCUAAAAAGGGAAGACUGCUUGCAGGGGUAGAAUUGUCAGUGAGUUCUUUCCUCUAAAAUAAAUGCAGGCUUUCUGUUAGAAACAGGAUUAAUGUUUGCUUGUACCUCAUAUUGUUGCCCAGUAUAAAUAAGCUUGCCAGCUUUCCAUAAUCAGAGUCGGUGGAGACAUCACUAAUAGAUAAUAUUUGAACAUUAGAAUCCUGUCAAUAUAACGCAAACAGGAAGAAACUGUUGGAUGCAAAGGCUAGAUCAGAAAUAGGAAGUUACUCCUGUUAACUCUGAUGUAUUACCAUAAAUGAGUUAAUGGCAGUUACAUCCUGUUUCUCCUCAAGCCUUCACAAUGAACACUUUCUCCCUAUUUGUGUUAAAGCAACAGAAUCCUAAAAUUCAUAUAUAGGGUAGUCAUAUGGCCAUGACACUAUAUCUUGUGGCACAGUUGUAUGCAAAUCUACUCAGUUCAUGCAACUAAUGAAACAGACACUAAUAUUCCACAAAAGCUUAUGCUAUAAUAAAUCUGUUUGCUGUUAAA